rnacentral:rRNA from 1 species
GCCGCGUGCAGGAUGACGGCUUAUGAGUUGUAAACUGCUUUUGUACGAGGGUAACGCAGAUACGUGUAUCUGUCUGAAAGUAUCGUACGAAUAAGGAUCGGCUAACUCCGUGCCAGCAGCCGCGGUAAUACGGAGGAUUCAAGCGUUAUCCGGAUUUAUUGGGUUUAAAGGGUGCGUAGGCGGUUUGAUAAGUUAGAGGUGAAAUUUCGGGGCUCAACCCUGAACGUGCCUCUAAUACUGUUGAGCUAGAGAGUAGUUGCGGUAGGCGGAAUGUAUGGUGUAGCGGUGAAAUG